rnacentral:rRNA from 1 species
AAUCAACGCUGGCGGCGUGCCUAACACAUGCAAGUCGAACGCGAAAGUCCCGCAAGGGAUUAGUAGAGUGGCAAACGGGUGAGUAACACGUGGGUGACCUGCCUUCGAGCGGGGGAUAACGUCCCGAAAGGGACGCUAAUACCGCAUAACAUGCCGCCUUUUAACAGGUGGACAUCAAAGCUGGGGAUCGCAAGACCUAGCACUUGAAGAGGGGCCCGCGCCUGAUUAGCUAGUUGGUGGGGUAAUGGCUCACCAAGGCAACGAUCAGUAUCCGGCCUGAGAGGGCGGACGGACACACUGGGACUGAGACACGGCCCAGACUCCUACGGGAGGCAGCAGUGGGGAAUUGUUCGCAAUGGGCGCAAGCCUGACGACGCAACGCCGCGUGGAGGAUGAAGACCUUCGGGUCGUAAACUCCUUUCGAUCGAGACGAAUGGCCUCCGGGUGAACAAUCCGGAGGAGUGACGGUACCGAGAGAAGAAGCCCCGG